AAAAAUUUAGUUAAAAUAUAACAUUAGUUUGUCAAACUAAAAUUAUUAUAAAAUAAUAAUUUUUU
rnacentral:tRNA from 1 species